rnacentral:rRNA from 1 species
GAUGAACGCUGGCGGCGUGCCUAAUACAUGCAAGUCGAGCGAACAGACGAGGCGCUUGCUCCUCUGACGUUAGCGGCGGACGGGUGAGUAACACGUGGAUAACCUACCUAUAAGACUGGGAUAACCUCGGGAAACCGGAGCUAAUACCGGAUAAUAUACUGAACCGCAUGGUUCAAUAGUGAAAGACGGUUUUGCUGGCACUUAUCGAUGGAUCCGCGCGGUAUUAGCUAGUUGGUAAGGUAACGGCUUACCAAGGCGACGAUGCGUAGCCGACCUGAGAGGCUGAUCGGCCACACUGGAGCUGGGACGCGCACCAGACUCCUACGGGAGGCAGCAGUAGGGAAUCUUCCGCAAUGGGCGAAAGCCUGACGGAGCAACGCCGCGUGAGUGAUGAAGGUCUUCGGAUCGUAAAACUCUGUUAUUAGGGAAGAACAAAUGUGUAAGUAACUAUGCACGUCUUGACGGUACCGAAUCAGAAAGCCACGGCUAACUACGUG